CCCGACCAACCCGAUGAGAAGGAUGGAUGACCAAGUGAAAAACUGGAGAGUGGUGCUGUGUUCCAACUAUGGAAGCUGAGCGUGGACAGAGCUGCACAGAGGACCAAAGAUCCACUCUCAGCACUUCAUACCUGACUGGCCACAGCACCACCCCUCCUCACCUGGGUGAGGAGGGCCC